GCUGGGUGCGGUGGCGCACCCCUGUAAUCCCAAUGGCUCAGGAGGCUGAGGCAGAAGGAUCAUGAGUUCAAAGCCAGCCUCAAAAACUUAGCAAAGUGCUAAGCAACUCAGUGAGACCCCGUCUCUA
rnacentral:sRNA from 1 species